rnacentral:lncRNA from 1 species
GGAAAAGGAGGAGAAUUGCAGAACGCGGGGCAGAGAGAGAGAGAAAGGCUAAAUUGGGUCACUCGCCGGAUUUUUGACCGGCUGUUUGGACGACCAAACGAUCUCCGUUUCGGCCCAAAUUCGGAGGAAGUACUCUAUUCGACUAGAGGAACAAGUCUACGGUGGCUGAUUUCGUUUUUAAUGGACAAAUUCUCAUAUUUGUGGUAGGGGACCCUAACUCUAAAAAUUAAAUUUUUAUGUUUUUCCCUUGAAAAAAAAAAUUAUAAAUCUGAUAAUUAUGAGUUAAGUAGGUAAUUGUAAUGUUGGGUGAAUUUUCUGGAAUGCUUUGGGAUUUGUUCUGGAUUUUUUUGUAAUUUCUGGAAUUCUUUGUAAUUGAUAAAUAAUUAUUUUAAGUAUUAAAAAUUGUUAGAAAUGUAGGAAAAUUCCGGAAUUAGGACAAGAUUUCAAAUCCAGUGAUUUAUGAAUUUUUGAAAAUUGAUUGGAAUAUUUGCGGUAAUUUUAUUGUGAAAAAUUAGUUAUUUUCAAAUAUUAGGAAUUAUUAGAAUUAUUGAAAAAUUCUGAAAUUGUGAUAUAAAUUCAAGUAUAUUGAUGUGUGAAUUUUCGAAAAUUCAUUGGUAUAUUUUCAGGAAUUUUAAUGUGAAAAUUUUAUUUUAUUGGGUUAUUGAAAAUGUUGGAAUUGUUGAAAUUAUUAAGGAAUUUUGGAGUUUGUGGCAUUCAUUUGCAUCAUGGUUGUAUGAAGAAAAAAAAAAUUGUGAAAAGUGUAUGAAAUGGAAAAAAAUAAAAUAGUUAUGAAAAGUGAAAGCCCGUGUGAGGCGAACUAAGAAGGGAGAGAGAUCCCUAGGGUGAAAGACCCAAAAGUUUACCCCGGGAAGACUCCGAAUGGGGAGUAUAUUUGGGUGCGGACGCGUAUCCUUCGGUGAAAGCCCGAGAACGAUAGAGCAUUGUAUGACUGUGUGUCACACGUUCAUAUGCAUUCAUUUAAUGAUUGGAUGUUGUGGGAUUGAGUAUAAUGUUAUAUGUUAAAUUGUGUGACUUGAUUUAUAUUGGUAAACUAUUGUGUUUGGGUUAUUGAAAUAUAGAAAUUCCCCCAUUAACCCUUUGGGUGUUAGGCACCUUACUGAGCAAUGUGGAAAUGCUCACCCCUUCAUUUUUAUAUCUUUUUAGAUGCAUAUAUCACUCUUGAGGAUCCACAGAUGGGACAGGGAGGACUUCAGGAUGCCCCUAGAGCGGUUUAGUGGAAAGGUUUUAUUUUUUUUUUUAUUGUGUUUGUGGCAUUGAGACCUUGUAAUAAGUGAAUUAUGGAUGAUGUAAUAAGACCUUAGUUUGAUUAAGAGGAUUUUUAUGAAACUUUAUUUUGGGAUGCAAUGAUGUUUAUUAAA